UCGGGAAACCGGAGCUAAUACCGGAUAAUAUAUUGAACCGCAUGGUUCAAUAGUGAAAGACGGUUUUGCUGUCACUUAUAGAUGGAUCCGCGUCGCAUUAGCUAGUUGGUAAGGUAACGGCUUACCAAGGCAACGAUGCGUAGCCGACCUGAGAGGGUGAUCGGCCACACUGGAACUGAGACACGGUCCAG
rnacentral:rRNA from 1 species